rnacentral:misc_RNA from 1 species
CUCGAUUCUUCGGUUAAAACCUUUUAAUUGCUUGCCCUGACUCUCUCUAUUGAUAUUAACGCUGAUUUUCAAGACCAGCCUCCAGAUUCUCUUGGCGCAAUUACACAAUGCGUAGGACCAAUAGACGAGGUGGCUAUCGGCACCGCCGUCUUGUUGAAAACUGGAACUACGAAGUUAUUCACCACCAACCCCAGGAUCAACAACAGCAAUCCGCUACUGAACUCUCUUCCUUUCCAUCAACUUCUUCUCCGCAACAAACUCCGGGCUCUAAAUCUCCUAAAACUCAUCCAAACCCCAAGUGGGUCGCACGUGAUACGCCAAAAUAUGCACCCAAAAAAGCGUUUAGGGAGAUUUCUGAAGUCGAUACCACGAAAUAUCCUAUGGGUUCUAUGAACGCUGAAGUGGGUUCUCCAAAAUCCGAACCAACUUCUUCGAAGAUUGAGGUGAUUUCUUUGAGUUCUGAAGUCGGUUCUCCGAAAUUUUCUGAAAAAGAAAGUAAGGAGCUAGAAAACAAGGAAAAGGAUGAUUUGCAAUCAAAUAAAAAGAGCUGUGAACCCGAGAAUGUAGUAGAUGAUAUUGUGAAUAGAUUAGAAAAGUUGCGGUUAGGUGUGGAGGAGCCAGAAUUGUCUGAGGAGCAGCUGAGGACCAAUGAUCAGCUGCAGGAGGAUGAGUUGCUUGCUAUGGAGUCCAUUUUUGGAGAGAAUGCCCUCAUUGUUGACAGGCAAGAAGGCCUAAGAUCAUUUCAGAUUCACAUCAAUAUUGAAGCUCCUGCUCAACUCAUUGUAAUUGCUAAGCUUAAUUCAUUUGGUGAUUUUAAGAUGAACAGAGAAAGCUCAGAUGAAUUCUCUUACUCAUUCAAAGUCCAAUAUCUUUCACCAGUUGUGUUAACCUGCUUAUUACCCAAGUCAUACCCGAGCCACCUUCCACCUUACUUUACCAUCUCAGUUCAGUGGUUGGAUUCCAUUAGGAUUUCCAAUCUCUGCUCCAUGCUGGACAGAAUAUGGAUGGAACAAUCAGGGCAGGAAGUUAUAUAUAAAUGGGUUGAAUGGCUACAGAAUUCCUCUCUUUCAUAUCUUGAGGUUGAUCAAGAGAUAAUGCUUGGUCCUUAUGGAGUAAAACAUACUGGGGACUGGCGUGCAAUUUCAAGAAGUGUCUCCCCAGAUAUUGACAUUCCUUCAAUGAAGAGUUAUAAUGAUGAGCAGUGCCAUGAGAACUUUCGCCAAAACAUGCAUGAAUGUGUCAUCUGUUACAAUGAAUAUACUGGCAGUGACUUUGUCAUGCUACCAUGCCAGCACUUUUUCUGUUGGAAAUGCAUGAAGACUUAUUCUGACAUGCAUGUUGCAGAAGGCACUGUGAACAAACUUCAUUGUCCAGAUGCAAAAUGUGGGGGUAUGGUCCCCCCCAGUUUAUUGAAACAGUUGCUUGGUGAUGAAGAAUACGAACGUUGGGAGUCCUUGAUGUUACAAAAAACACUAGAAUCCAUGUCUGAUGUUGCCUAUUGUCCACGAUGUGAAACACCCUGCAUAGAAGAUGAAGACCAGCAUGCGCAAUGCUCUAAGUGCUUCUUUAGCUUCUGCACACUUUGCAGGGAGCGACGCCAUGUUGGUAUAGCAUGCCUAACACCAGAAUUGAAGCUUCGUAUCUUAGAGGAACGCCAGAAUUCAUCUCAACUCAAGGGUGAGCAAAGGCGUAGAGAACUUGAGAUGAUCAAUGACCUUCUUAGUGUGAAGGAAAUACUUCGUGAUGCUAAGCAAUGCCCAUCUUGUAAGAUGGCAAUCUCAAGAACUGAAGGUUGCAAUAAGAUGGUAUGUAAUAACUGUGGGCAAUACUUCUGCUACCGCUGUAACAGUGCAAUUGAUGGAUAUGAUCAUUUUAAGGAUGGAUCAUGUGAACUGUUCCCACAAGAAACAAUUAGGCAGUGGGAGGGGCAGAUGAAUGCUCGCCAGAUUGUGGCUCAGGUUCAAGCUGAGCUCUUUGCUGAGCAUGGUCACUCAUGUCCUAAUUGUGGUCAAUUCAAUGCAAAGGUUGGCAAUAACAAUCACAUAUUUUGCUGGGCAUGCCAAAAGCACUAUUGCUACUUGUGCAGAAAGAUUGUGAGGCGCAGCUCUCAGCAUUAUGGACCCAAGGGCUGCAAGCAGCACACAGUUGGAUAAGCAUUUAAAGAGGAAAAUCAAAGAUCCAGCAACAAUGGGAUCGACAUGCAUCUUCACUCUCAUAAUUAUUAUCUAUACGUAUGCAUCGUCACUCUUUACAUACGGCUUAUAUUCUUUAUUGCGAGAUUUUGUUUUUGGUUAGCAGCACUAAUUUUUAACGUUCAGUGCGCUGAGAGUAUUCUAUAAUAUUUCUUAGACAUGAAACAGGACCAUAUGAGAAGCAAAAAUACAAAAAUGAAUGAAAGAAUUUACCCCUUGAUUGAUUCAAAUGAACAAACCAAAGUUUAGCUUAGGGUAAGUAACUUUAUGUGA